rnacentral:lncRNA from 1 species
GAUCGAGUAAAACUGGAAACGACAGCUCGCACGGCAUUUGUUCGAGUUCCAUGAUAUCACUAUUCACAUUGAAGACCGCCAUGUUGUCAAGCUGUGACGAGCGCUUCGUUCCGUUGGAGGGCUUGCUCGAGUGCUUUGAAUCAAGCUCGCCGUUUUCUGACGGUACGUCAUGGUCACCCUUGACACGUAAAUGUGUGCGUUCCUCGACCCUCGGACGGACGUUAAUACUGGGUGUCUCGCCUGCCGACGAGUUCCAACGGUUUUUGGCGUCGAGGAGGUGAGUUAUUCCAGGCACCUUCAAUGAACGACAGAUUCCCGCUCGAAACGCGUCGAGGCACUGCAUCAGCAGACACAGCAGCACCUCAGCAAAUGAUACAACAACCAGUGGGCUGAAUUCAGAUUUGAAUCCCAAUGCGAUGUAUGCAUGUUGUCGUGGUAGUGGUAAUGGUGGUAGUUAAACGGCUGAGGAGAGUAACGUGCCGCUUUAAGCGGUGUAUUUUUGAAGUCGUCAUUUAAAAAAAAAAAACUGAAAACCUCAUAAACUAUAUAUUCACAGUUUAGAUUUGAAAAUCAAUUUUUGUGAAGGUAUUUCAUUUUAAACGAUGACUAUAAGUCGUACAUUGACGUAAAUCACAGAGCAACGAAGCACAAUAAUUGGCGGGAUGGCCGUUUAUUUUUUCAAAUGCUUCCGGGUUUUUAUUGAAUCCGGUAAUAUUUGUAAAACCGUAAUUUGUUUCAUGUAUUAUUUAUCCAUGACGGACGUUUUAUUCGAUCUUUUUGAUGCGAUGAUCAUCGAACUUAUCUUAUUUUCACCAUUUCAUUGCCAGCAGCUGGCGAGAUCAAGAUGGACAGCCUGCCGAAUAAACAAGGAAGUCCUCGUGCUGCUGCCAGCAUGGUUCCAUCUAUGCGGUCAUCUUUCUCUUCACAACGCAAGCGCAAACGUUCAAGAAUGUCCUUGAGCCAUGCACCAUCAUCCAUCUCACGGGGGAGAGGUCCACUUGCAUCCCCUUCCUUGACAUGCAGUCUCAACCCGCAGAACAGCUUGUGUCGCUCACUUAUGCUCAGGUACAAGUCAUCUCCACUGAAAGGGCAAACCAAGCUUUCCACACGUACACCUGAAAUGACUCCCUUCACUCUUAUGAGCAAGAUCGUUAGAAAUGGUCCAUUCAAGUCACCUGCUGUGUUUCAAAAAUCCCCAAUAUUGUCAAUUGAACAACAAGAACCCAGGAUUCCCUCUUCAACGAAGGCUUCUCGUCACUCACACACAAAAUCCUUGACAAAGUUGAAUAUACAGCACAAGGUGAUUGUGGAUAAGGCGCUGAAACCGCGUCAACGUUGGAAACAUCAAAGCCGUGUUGACCCACAGGCUUUCGCUCAAGGUAUGAGGAGAAAACUUCUGGAAACCAUUGGUGAUUGCAUCUGGAAGGUUGUUUCACUCAGCUGCUCUUGUGCUUUUAUUACUUAUCAAUACUUCAAUAUUUUUCCUUGGCAGUUGAAUUUAUUUUAUUUUAUUUAAAUAGGAUGCCUUUCUGUGCUGUCACAACCACUACGAUUUUCAGUACUCCGCAUGGUUCACACAGUCCUCGAAACUCCUUGAAAUUCCUGCAAAAUGAAAAGCAUUUUCAAGUUCUGGAAAGUUCUCGACAGUAUGGAUUUUAUCUUUUACAUCAUUAUCAGUUCUUGAGUUAAUGAUUCUUGAGUUAAUCCCCCCAAUGUUUUUCUAUUCUAUCUGCUGCUAAUUAUGUGUCGAUGGAUUGAAAGUUGGAAAAUUGGGGAAAUUAUACCGGGGAUGAAACGUGCUAAUCUCACAAUGCAUUCCCAUCCCCCCCCCCCCAAAUCCCCUGGACAAAGGGCAAGGUCUGUCUAAUCAUACAUCCCCCCCCCC